UUUUAUUUCAGCUCACAAUGCGAUCACAUCUCCACCGAACGCUUUCAAAAAAAUUGCACACGUUCUGCGAUCACAGUACGCUCCACGGGGCGUAUUACCUGAAGAAAGGAAAAGGCACUGUCGUGCUGUGGGGCAUCAUCAUUGUCGCUGGCUUUGCGCUGUGGGGCGUGCUUGGACACAUGAUCUAUCAGAAGUACAGCUCCGACCCUAUCGUCACUGUGGUGGAGUCCACCUACUACGGGACUGACCAGAUUGCCUUUCCUUCAUUCAUGAUUUGCGACCCCUUGCCACUGUAUGGACCUAAAACUGGGAACGUAUCUAAGAUAUUAUACAGCCGAGGUUAUGGUGCCAGUGAGAUAAACGACUAUUUUGACAGUUUUAUUGACAUUCUUCAUGUUCCUUAUACGCCGCCAAUGCAUGUCCUGAAAAUGCAC